CUUUAGGAGGGGCUUGCGCCAUAUUAGUUAGUUGGUAGGGUAAUGGCCUACCAAGACGAUGAUGUGUAGCUGGACUGAGAGGUUGAACAGCCACAUUGGGACUGAGACACGGCCCAAACUCCUACGGGAGGCAGCAGUAAGGAAUUUUCGGCAAUGGAGGAAACUCUGACCGAGCAACGCCGCGUGAACGACGAAGUACUUUGGUAUGUAAAGUUCUUUUAUCAAGGAAGAAAAGCAAGUGGCGAACCAUUUGUUUGCCGGUACUUGAUGAAUAAGCCCCGGCUAAUUAUGUGCCAGCAGCCGCGGUAAGACAUAAGGGGCAAGUGUUAUCCGGAAUUAUUGGGCGUAAAGGGUGCGUAGGCGGUCUAGUAAGUCAGUGGUGUAAUGGCAACGCUCAACGUUGUCCGGCUAUUGAAACUGCUAAACUUGAGUUAGAUAGAGGCGAGUGGAAUUCCAUGUGUAGCGGUAAAAUGCGUAAAUAUAUGGAGGAACACCAGAGGCGUAGGCGGCUCGCUGGGUCUUAACUGACGCUGAGGCACGAAAGCGUGGGGAGCAAACAGGAUUAGAUACCCUGGUAGUCCACGCCGUAAACGAUGAGUACUAAGUGUCGGGUUAAACCGGUACUGAAGUUAACACAUUAAGUACUCCGCCUGAGUAGUACGUACGCAAGUAUGAAACUUAAAGGAAUUGACGGGACUCCGCACAAGCGGUGGAUCAUGUUGUUUAAUUCGAAGAUACCCGAAAAACCUUACCAGGUCUUGACAUGUUUUUGCGAAACGGUAGUAAUAUCGUAGAGGUUAUCAGAAACACAGGUGGUGCAUGGUUGUCGUCAGCUCGUGUCGUGAGAUGUUAGGUUAAGUCCUAAAACGAGCGAAACCCUUAUCGUUAGUUGCCAGCACGUUAUGGUGGGGACUUUAACGAGACUGCCAGUGAUAAACUGGAGGAAGGUGAGGAUCACGUCAAAUCAGCAUGCCCCUUAUGACCUGGGCUACAAACGUGAUACAAUGGCUGUUACAAAGGGUAGCUGAAACGUAAGUUCUUGGCCAAUCCCCAAAAACAGUCUCAGUCCGGAUUGAAGUCUGCAACUCGACUUCAUGAAGUUGGAAUCGCUAGUAAUCGCGAAUCAGCAUGUCGCGGUGAAUACGUUCUCGGGGUUUGUACACACCGCCCGUCAAACCACGAAAGUUGGCAAUACCCCAAAAUGGUAGCCUAACUCGUUUAUUCGAGAGGGCGCUGUCUAAGGUAGGGUCGAUGAUUGGGGUUAAGUCGUAACAAGGUAUCCCUACCGGAAGGUGGGGAUGGAUCACCUCCUUUCU
rnacentral:rRNA from 1 species